AGAGUUUGAUCCUGGCUCAGGACGAACGCUGGCGGCGUGCUUAAUACAUGCAAGUCGAACGAGGUUCAGUCGGUGGUAACACUGACGAAGAUCUAGUGGCGAACGGGUGCGUAACACGUGAGCAACCUGCCCCGAAGACCGGGAUAACAGUGGGAAACCGCUGCUAAUACCGGAUGUCCCCACGAUUCGCAUGGAUUUGUGAGGAAAUGGAUUCCGCUUCGGGAGGGGCUCGCGGCCUAUCAGCUUGUUGGUGAGGUAAUGGCUCACCAAGGCUUCGACGGGUAGCUGGUCUGAGAGGACGAUCAGCCACACUGGGACUGAGACACGGCCCAGACUCCUACGGGAGGCAGCAGUGGGGAAUAUUGGACAAUGGGCGAAAGCCUGAUCCAGCAAUGCCGCGUGUGUGAAGAAGGUCUUCGGAUUGUAAAGCACUUUCGACGGGGACGAUAAUGACGGUACCCGUAGAAGAGCCC
rnacentral:rRNA from 1 species